rnacentral:rRNA from 1 species
GACGUAGGUGGCGAACGUUAUCCGGAAUUAUUGGGCGUAAAGGGUGCGUAGGCGGCAUGAUAAGUUAUUGGCGGCAAAUCGAGGCUCAACCUCGUGGAAACUGAUAAUACUGUUUUGCUUGAGUACAGGAGAGGUUAACGGAACUCCAUGUGGAACGGUAAAAUGUGUAGAUAUAUGGAAGAACAUCAAUACGGCGAAGGCAGUUAACUAUUCUGUUACUUGACGUUGAGGCACGAAAGCGUGGGGGAGCAAAAAAGG